AACGAACGCUGGCGGCAGGCCUAACACAUGCAAGUCGAGCGCGCCCUUCGGGGUGAGCGGCGGACGGGUGAGUAACGCGUGGGAACGUGCCCUUCUCUGCGGAAUAGCCUCGGGAAACUGAGAGUAAUACCGCAUACGCCCUUUGGGGGAAAGAUUUAUCGGAGAAGGAUCGGCCCGCGUUGGAUUAGGUAGUUGGUGGGGUAAUGGCCCACCAAGCCGACGAUCCAUAGCUGGUUUGAGAGGAUGAUCAGCCACACCGGGACUGAGACACGGCCCAGACUCCUACGGGAGGCAGCAGUGGGGAAUCUUAGACAAUGGGGGCAACCCUGAUCUAGCCAUGCCGCGUGAGUGAUGAAGGCCUUAGGGUUGUAAAGCUCUUUCAGCUGGGAAGAUAAUGACGGUACCAGCAGAAGAAGCCCCGGCUAACUCCGUG
rnacentral:rRNA from 1 species